GCGGCCGCGGGCGACUCCUGGUACCCCCGAGGCCCCGCGAACUCACCUUCACAAAGCUGUCGGCGUCCGGGAAGCCUGGCAGCACCAUCUCUCCGUCGGAUUUGGUUGCGCUGGUCGCCGACAGGACCCUGGGCUCCCGGGUAAGCUCCUGAAGAAAGCGUCUAGCUCCAACUGUGCUUCCUCCCUCCAGUACCCUCUGAACUCCUCCAAGCAGACGUUGUUUCCUGCAGACAUCGCUGGAACCAUUCUGGUUAACACAGAGUGGGAACUCAGUACACAUUUGUGAAGUGAACUCCUGGAAGAGCUCUUGUGAGGGAGGCACCGAAUUAUCAGGCAGCUCAAGAGAUAGAUUCACUCUCCUGAAAUUAGAGAUGGGAUGCCCUUAAUACAAUUCAUUCCACCCAUUAAGUCUUCAAUAAAUGUUCAGCAUAUCCAGUUAA
rnacentral:lncRNA from 1 species